AACGCGAAGAACCUUACCAAGGCUUGACAUCCCAUUGACCGGUGUAGAGAUACGCCUUUCCUUCGGGACAAUGGAGACAGGUGGUGCAUGGUUGUCGUCAGCUCGUGUCGUGAGAUGUUGGGUUCAGUCCCGCAACGAGCGCAACCCUUAUCCUUAGUUGCCAGCAGGUAAAGCUGGGCACUCUAAAGAGACAGCCGGUGAAAGCCGGAGGAAGGUGGGGAUGACGUCAAAUCAUCAUGCCCCUUAUGUCUUGGGCUACACACGUGCUACAAUGGUUGGUGCAAAGGGAAGCGAAGCCGCGAGGUGAAGCGAAUCUCAUAAAACCAAUCUCAGUUCGGAUCGUAGGCUGCAACUCGCCUACGUGAAGUCGGAAUCGCUAGUAAUCGCGGAUCAGCAUGCCGCGGUGAAUACGUUCCCGGGCCUUGUA
rnacentral:rRNA from 1 species